GGGGGUGUAGCUCAGCUGGGGAGAGCGGCUGCUUUGCAAGCAGUAGGUAGCGGGUUCGAGUCCUGUCACCUCCACCA
rnacentral:tRNA from 1 species